ensembl:snoRNA
UCCCUCCGGAUUCCUUAGCCCUCAAACCUAAACCGAGGUCUGAGCGGCUUAAAGAAAAGAGGAGGAAAGUGAAACUGAAAUGGACUUGGAGUCUUGGGACAAUCAAGUUCACUUCAAACAAUU